CCUACGGGUGGCAGCAGUGAGGAAUAUUGGUCAAUGGGCGCGAGCCUGAACCAGCCAAGUCGCGUGAGGGAUGAAGGUUCUAUGGAUCGUACACCUCUUUUAUAAGGGAAUAAAGUGUGGGACGUGUCCUAUUUUGUAUGUACCUUAUGAAUAAGGAUCGGCUACCUCCGUGCCAGCAGCCGCGGUAAUACGGAGGAUCCGAGCGUUAUCCGGAUUUAUUGGGUUUAAAGGGUGCGUAGGCGGAAUAUCAAGUCAGCGGUAAAAAUUCGGGGCUCAACCCCGUCGUGCCGUUGAAACUGAUGUUCUUGAGUGGGCGAGAAGUAUGCGGAAUGCGUGGUGUAGCGGUGAAAUGCAUAGAUAUCACGCAGAACUCCGAUUGCGAAGGCAGCAUACCGGCGCCCAACUGACGCUGAAGCACGAAAGCGUGGGUAUCGAACAGGAUUAGAUACCCCUGUAGUC
rnacentral:rRNA from 1 species